GUAGGUGAACCUGCGGAAGGAUCAUUAUCGGGAGUGCCCUCGUGGCUUAACCUGCAACCCAAUGUUUUACAAACCCUUGUUUCUUUGGCGGGCUCGCCCGUCAGAAGAAUUCUCAAACUCAUUAUAAACGUGUCUUCUGAACAAAAUUUUAAUAAAAUUAAAACUUUCAACAACGGAUCUCUUGGUUCUA
rnacentral:misc_RNA from 1 species